GAAUUGUGUACCGACCACCAGGGUGAGAAAAACUCUAAGAUGCUCUAUGAUCAGCAUAGAAAGGUUUUUGACGAAUACAUUAAUUCCACCAGACUAUAUUCCCAGAUGGGGGCUUCCAUCUCUUGAAGAAAGUAGCUUAUUGUCCUUCCAUGACUUGAUUGGUGGUGAAAUUCUUUGAACUAAUUUACUUUACAUCUUAUUUUGCUAUUCUCUGAAAGCAUAUCCACAGACUCACCCACUUGUUUCAGGUUUAUGAAGAGAUGAAUAAACAGAUAGCGGAUGCUGUAUUAUGCAUGACACAACAAGAAAGGGAUUGAGAUGCCAUAUUGUUCUCUUGUCGUGGCAGUCUUGCAGUUGCUCAACCUUUAUGCUUAUGUGCACAAUGGGAACUUAAAAACCAUACAUAUCCAAAAAUUAAACGACGAGAUUUACUAUUUGAAAAAGCUCCAAACGUGAAAACGUUUCUGCAGUGUAUAAAGAUGAAGAAGUGAGCAUGCAAGAAAAAGAUGGUAAAAGCAAGUCCAUAUCAGGUAGAAUAUAUGAGGACACAAGUUACGAGGAAGGUGGGGAUUUUAGGUCUUGCAUUGAGCCUGAGCACAAGAAAAAGAGAAAGCAGAAGAAGAAAUAUGUUGAUGUAUUGAUGGAUAGACUUGACAAUGAGCUUAUACUUGAUCUCAACCUAUCCACUAAGGACCAAGGGCCGUUUGAAAUAGUUUAUUGUAAUUUAUUGAAU